CAGUCGAGGGGCAGCAUGGUGUAGCAAUACACUGAUGGCGACCGGCAAACGGGUGCGGAACACGUACAGAACCUUCCUUCAAGCGGGGAAUAGCCCAGAGAAAUUUGGAUUAAUACCCCAUAGCAUAAUGGAGUGGCAUCACUUUGUUAUUAAAGAUUUAUCACUUGAAGAUGGCUGUGCGGCUGAUUAGGUAGUUGGCGGGGUAACGGCCCACCAAGCCUGCGAUCAGUAACUGGUGUGAGAGCACGACCAGUCACACGGGCACUGAGACACGGGCCCGACUCCUACGGGAGGCAGCAGUAAGGAAUAUUGGUCAAUGGACGAAAGUCUGAACCAGCCAUGCCGCGUGGAGGAUGAAGGUCCUCUGGAUUGUAAACUUCUUUUAUCUGGGACGAAAAAAGGUCUUUCUAGAUCGUCUGACGGUACCAGAUGAAUAAGCACCGGCUAACUCCGUGCCAGCAGCCGCGGUAAUACGGAGGGUGCAAGCGUUAUCCGGAUUCACUGGGUUUAAAGGGUGCGUAGGUGGGUUGGUAAGUCAGUGGUGAAAUCUUCGAGCUUAACUCGGAAACUGCCAUUGAUACUAUCAGUCUUGAAUAUUGUGGAGGUUAGCGGAAUAUGUCAUGUAGCGGUGAAAUGCUUAGAUAUGACAUAGAACACCAAUUGCGAAGGCAGCUGGCUACACAUAUAUUGACACUGAGGCACGAAAGCGUGGGGAUCAAACAGGAUUAGAUACCCUGGUAGUCCACGCCCUAAACUAUGGAUAC
rnacentral:rRNA from 1 species